rnacentral:rRNA from 1 species
CCUACGGGAGGCAGCAGUGAGGAAUAUUGGUCAAUGGGCGGGAGCCUGAACCAGCCAAGCCGCGUGAGGGAAGAAGGUACAGCGUAUCGUAAACCUCUUUUGUCAGGGAACAAAGGCGGGGACUAGUCCCCGGAUGAGGGUACCUGAAGAAAAAGCAUCGGUUAACUCCGUGCCAGCAGCCGCGGUAAUACGGAGGAUGCGAGCGUUAUCCGGAUCUAUGGGGUGAAAGGGGUGGGCAGGCGGCCUGUAAAGUCAGCGGUAAAAGCCAGGGGCUCAACCCCGGCGAGCCGUUGAAACUGGCGGGCUGGAGUGGGAGAGAAGCACGCGGAAUGCGCGGUGUAGCGGUGAAAUGCGUAGAU